GCGCCGGGUGCGUCGUCGCCGUGGUGACCGCAGAAGCCCAGAGUCUCGGCAGCUGCGAGGGCUCGUCCCAGAGUCGAGGCAAGGUAAUUGCAGAGUUAAUGGAGUCAGAGGGACCCCCAGACUCGGAGAGUUCAGAAAAAUCAGUAUUUUUAUCCCAGCAAGGAGAAGGAGUUGAAGAAGGAGAAGAGGAGGAGGAGGAGGAAGAGGAGGACGAGGAGGAGGAGCCAGAGGAAGCAGGCCUGGGGAACCCCCUCUUACGGCCUGCUCUCACGGGGGAUGUGGAAGGGCUGCGGGAGGUGUUCGAGGACCCCGAGCACCCUCACCACCACCAGGCCAUGCAGCUCCUCCUGGAGGAAGACAUCGUCGGGAGGAAUCUGUUGUAUGCAGCGUGCAUGGCCGGGCAAAGCGAUGUGAUCAGAGCUCUGGCAAAAUACGGUGUGAAUCUGAAUGAAAAAACCGCCAGAGGUUAUACCCUCCUACACUGCGCCGCCGCCUGGGGCCGUCUGGAAACUUUGAAGGCGCUCGUGGAGUUGGAUGUUGACAUAGAAGCUCUGAACUUCCGCGGGGAGAGGGCUCGCGAUGUUGCCGCUCGGUAUUCCCAGACCGAGUGCGUCGAGUUCCUGGACUGGGCAGAUGCAAGGCUGGCUCUGAAAAGAUACAUUAUAAAGGUCUCUACCACUGUCACAGAUGCAGAAAAGGGACCGGGGAGAUUCCUUAAAGAAGACAAGAAUACCAUCCUCGGCACCUGCCGCGUGAAAAAUGAGUGGUUGGAAACCCAUCUGGAAGCUUCGAUCAGUGAGCUUGUGGAGCAGAGACAACAGUUAGAAGACAUCGUGACUCCUAUCUUCAUAAAAAUGGCUACGCCACGCCAAGUGAGAAGCGCGAAAUCUGUAACCUAAGCCUCGGCCAAGGCCACACCUUCUACUGCGCAUGCGUUUCCUAGAAAGCCACACUUUCCUCCGGUGUUUGUAAAGGCGAACCUAUUCAUGACAAUGGAAGCCGAGAAAACAGAGGUGAGGAUUUGAAAAAAAGGCCCCAGGUAGCUCCCUUGCCCCUUGCACCACGUGAGGUGACAAACAGAAGACAGCUGUCCAGGAAGCAGGCUCUCAGCAGACACCGGGUCUACCAGCACCACGACCUUGGACUUCC